rnacentral:rRNA from 1 species
AACAAACGCUGGCGGCGUGUCUUAAGCAUGCAAGUUGAGCGGCAAGGGGGAGCAAUCCCCCCCUAGAGCGGCGGACUGGUGAGUAACACGUGGAUGAUCUACCCAUGGCAUGGGGAUAGUCACUAGAAAUAGUGGGUAAUACCGAAUACGGUGCGUACUGUGAGGGUACGCAAGAAAGGUGCUACGGCACCGGCCUAGGAUGAGUCUGCGUCCCAUUAGCUAGUUGGUGAGGUAAGAGCCCACCAAGGCGAUGAUGGGUAGCCGGCCUGAGAGGGUGUACGGCCACACUGGGACUGAGAUACGGCCCAGACUCCUACGGGAGGCAGCAGCUAAGAAUAUUCCGCAAUGGACGAAAGUCUGACGGAGCGACGCCGCGUGGAUGAAGAAGGCCGAAAGGUUGUAAAGUUCUUUUGUUGGGGAAGAAUAACCAUGGGAGGGAAUGCCCGUGGGAUGACAUGAACCGACGAAUAAGCCCCGGCUAACUACGUGCCAGCAGCCGCGGU